AAAUUGAAGAGUUUGAUCAUGGCUCAGAUUGAACGCUGGCGGCAGGCCUAACACAUGCAAGUCGAACGGUAACAGGAAACAGCUUGCUGUUUCGCUGACGAGUGGCGGACGGGUGAGUAAUGUCUGGGAAACUGCCUGAUGGAGGGGGAUAACUACUGGAAACGGUAGCUAAUACCGCAUAAUGUCGCAAGACCAAAGAGGGGGACCUUC
rnacentral:rRNA from 2 species